GUUUAUGACUGUAUGGUGUAUGUCAGA
rnacentral:sRNA from 1 species